UUGAAAGAUUUGAUGACUUCAUAUUGCAUACUUGGAUGAUUUGGAGACUUCAGCUUGUAUACUUGGAGUAUUUUAGAACUUCAAUU
rnacentral:pre_miRNA from 1 species